rnacentral:rRNA from 1 species
UAUUGGACAAUGGGGGGAACCCUGAUCCAGCGACGCCGCGUGAGGGAAGAAGUAUCUCGGGGGGUAAAGCUCUAUCAGCAGGGAAGAACGAAAUGACGGUACCUGAGAAAGAAGCCCCGGCUAACAACGGGCCAGCAGCCGCGGUAAUACGUAGGGGGCAAGCGUUAUCCGGAAUUACUGGGUGUAAAGGGAGCGUAGACGGUGAUGUAAGUCUGGCGUGAAAGGCGGGGGCCCAACCCCCGGACUGCUCUGGAAACUAUGUGACUGGAGUGCAGGAGAGGUGAGCGGAAUUCCUAGUGUAGCGGUGAAAUGCGUAGAUAUUAGGAGGAACACCAGUGGCGAAGGCGGCUCACUGGACUGUAACUGACGUUGAGGCUCGAAAGCGUGGGGAGCAAACAG